AUUGAACGCUGGCGGCAGGCCUAACACAUGCAAGUCGAACGAGUGGAGGACGGGUGAGUAAUGUCUGGGAAACUGCCUGAUGGAGGGGGAUAACUACUGGAAACGGUAGCUAAUACCGCAUACCAUCGGAUGUGCCCAGAUGGGAUUAGCUAGUAGGUGGGGUAGAGGCUCACCUAGGCGAAGAUCCCUAGCUGGUCUGAGAGGGUGACGGGACACAGUGGGACUGAGACACGGUCCAGAAUCCUACGGGAGGCAGCAGUGGGGAAUAUUGCAUAAGGGGCGCAAGGCUGAUGUAGCCAAGCCGCGGGUAGGAAGAAGGCCUUUGGGUUGUAAAGUACUUUCAGUGGAGAGGCGGUACCCGCAGAAGAAGCACAGGCUAACUCCGUGCCAGUAGCAGCGGUAAGUC
rnacentral:rRNA from 1 species